GACGGACUCAUAUGGCCCGGGCAUCUUGCCCGGGUCCGAGAGAUCCGUAGGUCAUGGGUUCAAAUCCCAUUCCCGGCA
rnacentral:tRNA from 1 species